GUGCGCUGGCGGGGUCGGUGUAAUUCCGAACCGGCGGUGACAGUCCGCGACCCGCCGAGGGAGAACACAGCUCGGCGGUUGACCCGGUGAAACUCCGGGACCGACGGUGAAAGUCCGGAUGGUAGGCGGCGCAC
rnacentral:ncRNA from 1 species